rnacentral:lncRNA from 1 species
AAAAAAAUUAUCAAACAGUGAUACCAAAACACAAGUAUGCUUCGGAUACAUGUAGUAUAGGAAUAGGAUGACACAUUGAAAGCAACUAGAUAAAAAAAUUUGACAGGAGCAAAGAUUCCCAACACUGAACCAAACACUAUCAAAAUACAUUAAAAAAACAAAAUAAUCUUACAAAGAUUUUAUCUGUGCCUGAAUGGCGGAUAUACCCCUGGCUACCAGCCCAAGGUCCAAUCAUAAUAAAUGGUAU